UACGUAGGGUGCAAGCGUUAAUCGGAAUUACUGGGCGUAAAGCGUGCGCAGGCGGUUAUGCAAGACAGAUGUGAAAUCCCCGGGCUCAACCUGGGAACUGCAUUUGUGACUGCAUGGCUGGAGUGCGGCAGAGGGGGAUGGAAUUCCGCGUGUAGCAGUGAAAUGCGUAGAUAUGCGGAGGAACACCGAUGGCGAAGGCAAUCUCCUGGGCCUGCACUGACGCUCAUGCACGAAAGCGUGGGGAGCAAACAGG
rnacentral:rRNA from 1 species